rnacentral:rRNA from 1 species
UAGGGAAUCUUCCACAAUGGACGCAAGUCUGAUGGAGCAACGCCGCGUGAGUGAAGAAGGUUUUCGGAUCGUAAAGCUCUGUUGUUGGUGAAGAAGGAUAGAGGCAGUAACUGGUCUUUAUUUGACGGUAAUCAACCAGAAAGUCACGGCUAACUACGUGCCAGCAGCCGCGGUAAUACGUAGGUGGCAAGCGGUGUCCGGGUUUAUUGGGCGUAAAGCGAGCGCAGGCGGAAUGAUAAGUCUGAUGUGAAAGCCCACGGCUCAACCCUGGAACUGCAUCGUAAACUGUCAUUCGUGAGUGCAGCAGAGGAGAGUGGGGUUCCAUGUGUAGCGGUGGGAUGCGUAGAUAUAUGGAAGAACACCAGUGGCGGAGGCGGCUCUCUGGUCUGCAACUGACGCUGAGGCUCGACAGCAUGGGUAGCGAACAGG